AGCUUUGUGCAGUGGCAGUAUCAUAGACAAUGGAGUUUAUCUGAGGUGUGAUUAUUGCUAAUUGAGAAGAAAAUAAA
rnacentral:snRNA from 1 species